rnacentral:rRNA from 1 species
GGGGAUAACUUGGGGAAACCCAAGCUAAUACCGCAUACGACCUACGGGUGAAAGGGGGCUUUUAGCUCUCGCUAUUAGAUGAGCCUAAGUCGGAUUAGCUGGUUGGUGGGGUAAAGGCCUACCAAGGCGACGAUCUGUAGCUGGUCUGAGGGGAUGAUCAGCCACACUGGGACUGAGACACGGCCCAG